rnacentral:rRNA from 1 species
UACGUAGGUGGCAAGCGAUACUCGGAAUCACUAGGCGUAAAGCGCAGGUAGGAGGUUUGGUAAGUCUGUUGUGAAAGCUCCCGGCUUAACUGGGAGAGGUCAACGGAAACUACCAGGCUAGAGUGCGGUAGAGGUAGCUGGAAUUCCCGGUGUAGCGGUGAAAUGCGUAGAUAUAGGGAGGAAUACCUAUGGCGAAAGCAGGCUACUGGACCGUCACUGACUCUGAGGCGCGAAAGCUAGGGGAGCAAACAGG